GACGAACGCUGGCGGCGUGCUUAACACAUGCAAGUCGAACGGUGAGGCCCCGGCUUGCUGGGGUGCUUCAGUGGCGAACGGGUGAGUAACACGUGAGUAACCUGCCCCUGACUCUGGGAUAACCUCUGGAAACUGCGGCUAAUACCGGAUACGAGAUGCGGCUGCAUGGUGGCGUUCUGAAAGUUUCGGCGGUUGGGGAUGGACUCGCGGCUUAUCAGCUUGUUGGUGGGGUAAUGGCUUACCAAGGCUUCGACGGGUAGCCGGCCUGAGAGGGUGACCGGCCACAUUGGGACUGAGACACGGCCCAGACUCCUACGGGAGGCAGCAGUGGGGAAUAUUGCACAAUGGGCGAAAGCCUGAUGCAGCAACGCCGCGUGCGGGAUGACGGCCUUCGGGUUGUAAACCUCUUUCGGCUGGGACGAAGCGUAAGUGACGGUAAUGGGUAAAGAAGCACCGGCUAACUACGUG
rnacentral:rRNA from 1 species